rnacentral:rRNA from 1 species
CAUUUAACCCAAACCACCCUGAACACACCCUUCUCGUCUAAUCUCAGAAGCUAAGCAGGGUCAGCCCCGGUUUGUACUUGGAUGGGAAACCACUGGGGAAUACUGGGUACUAUAGGC